GAUGAACGCUGGCGGCGUGCCUAAUACAUGCAAGUCGAGCGAACAGAUGAGGAGCUUGCUCCUCUGACGUUAGCGGCGGACGGGUGAGUAACACGUGGAUAACCUACCUAUAAGACUGGGAUAACUUCGGGAAACCGGAGCUAAUACCGGAUAAUAUAUUGAACCGCAUGGUUCAAUAGUGAAAGACGGUUUUGCUGUCACUUAUAGAUGGAUCCGCGCCGCAUUAGCUAGUUGGUAGGGUAACGGCUUACCAAGGCAACGAUGCGUAGCCGACCUGAGAGGGUGAUCGGCCACACUGGAACUGAGACACGGUCCAGACUCCUACGGGAGGCAGCAGUAGGGAAUCUUCCGCAAUGGGCGAAAGCCUGCCGGAGCAACGCCGCGUGAGUGAUGAAGGUCUUCGGAUCGUAAAACUCUGUUAUUAGGGAAGAACAAAUGUGUAAGUAACUAUGCACGUCUUGACGGUACCUAAUCAGAAAGCCACGGCUAACUACGUG
rnacentral:rRNA from 1 species